rnacentral:lncRNA from 1 species
AGACGGGGUCCAGUUCUGUUUCCCAGGCUGGAGUGCAGUGGCACAAUCACAGCUCACUGUCUCAUUGCAGCCUCGACCUCCCAGGCUCAAGUGUUCCUCUUUGGAAAUUCCUAGGCAGUAUGUGAAGUUGGUGGUGGGGGGGGGUGUCCCCCCAGCGUUAAGAAUGACGCUGAAUGAUCUGGCUCCAGACAUAAGCCUGUGAGUCAAGCAGAACAAGUUUUCUUGUAUCAGUUUGUAAAUUAACUUCUGGGUGAAAUUUUCAGCCUCCCAAGAAGCUGGGACUAUAGGCAUCAUGACACCACGCACAGCUAAUGUGUUUAUUUUUUGUGGAGAUGGGGUCUCAUUAUGUUACCAAGGCUGGCCUCAGACACCUGGGCUCAAGUGAUCCUCCCGCCUCAGCCUCCCAAAGUGCUGAGAUUAUAGGUAUAAGCCACCGAGCCUGGCCUGUGUUACAUUUUACAUGAUACUAAGUGAUCCUCUUGCCUCAGCUUCCCAAACUGCUAGGAUUACAGGCACAAGCUACCGAGGCUGGCCUGGGUUACAUUUCAUAUAAUAUCUAAGUAUUUGUAGCAGAGUCUGCUUUCUGGAAUAUUAGUGUGUGAUUGACAAAAUCACCUGUUCAGCCCCCAUGCUGGAGAGCAGGGAUAGGCUGCGUUCUGAAGCCUGGGCUAACACACACAUUGUUCUUAUUUCCAAGGCUUUGUAAUGAUAGGUUGUAACUAUGCAGUUUCUUAUUUUCUCCUUUCAGAAUUAAAUGAAAAAGCUUAUCAUUUAAUCUUUUUUUCUACAAAUCAAAAUUUUCUGAAGUCAAUGAAGCCCAAGGUUUGACUUUUUUAUCUCUAUUUCUUUUUUUAGAAAUUUUUCAAAUAUAUAACAAAACUUGAGAAACCCUUCAGUUCAGUUCUCUACCCUUGCCAUUCUCAUUUUUUAGGUCAUGGAUCACUUUUGUGCUAACUGGAUUAAGUUAGCAAGAACCAGUCAAGCAAUUUGACAGAGCUUUCCCAAGGUUGAUUAAGACAAAAAAAAUACACACUUUUCUUCUAUUUGAAGUUCGUGGCAUAUGUUUUGCUACACUUGAAUUUUGGAAAUAAUCUCUUAAGCAGUUACUGUUUUUAGAAAGUAUAUAGCAUAUCAUUCACCUGACAUUUAACAUAUUCAGGGUUAAUGAAGAACAGUGACGUGGAAAUAGUAUUGACUAAUACUAUGUUGUUUUAUUGUUAUUGUAUCUAUUUUACACAUAUGUAAAUUAAGUUUACUGACAGUAUAGAUAUUCUGACAAACAGUCUGGAUAAAUGCCUGGUUCUGCAGUGAGAACACAUGGACACAGGAAGGGGAACAUCACACACCGGAGACUGUUGU